rnacentral:lncRNA from 1 species
CUUGACAAAACAUAUCACCAGAAAUGCAAACUUAAAAUGAAAAAUUUGAAUUGUAAAUCCAAUUGUGUAACCCAAUGCCCUUAUCUAUCUAUAUUUGCUUAUACUUCGAAGACUUUUAUGAAUUCCUGUAUCUUAGCUUAUCAUUGAUCGCCUAUCCAUCGACCUUACCAUAUCCUUCACUAAAAAUCCAACCAUACUCAUUACUAAAUUCAAUACUACAACAGAACUUAUCAUCACACUCGAGCUGAAC